CACGUAGGGCGCAAGCGUUGUCCGGAAUUAUUGGGCGUAAAGAGCUCGUAGGCGGUCUGUUACGUCUGCUGUGAAACCCGGGGCUUAACCCUGGGCUUGCAGUGGAUACGGGCAGACUAGAGGCAGGUAGGGGAGAAUGGAAUUCCCGGUGUAGCGGUGAAAUGCGUAGAGAUGGGGAGAACACUCGUGGCGAAGGCGGCCAGCUAGACCAGUUCUGACACUGGAGGCGACGACAGCGUGGGGAGCAAACAGG
rnacentral:rRNA from 1 species